rnacentral:rRNA from 1 species
UAAAGAUUCAUCGCUGAUAGAUAGGCAUGCGUUCCAUUAGGCAGUUGGCGGGGUAACGGCCCACCAAACCGACGAUGGAUAGGGGUUCUGAGAGGAAGGUCCCCCACAUUGGUACUGAGACACGGACCAAACUCCUACGGGAGGCAGCAGUGAGGAAUAUUGGUCAAUGGGCGUAAGCCUGAACCAGCCAAGUCGCGUGAGGGAUGAAGGUUCUAUGGAUCGUAAACCUCUUUUAUAAGGGAAUAAAGUGUGGGACGUGUCCUAUUUUGUAUGUACCUUAUGAAUAAGGAUCGGCUAACUCCGUGCCAGCAGCCGCGGUAAUACGGAGGAUCCGAGCGUUAUCCGGAUCUAUUGGGUUUAAAGGGUGCGUAGGCGGCCUUUUAAGUCAGCGGUGAAAGUCUGUGGCUCAACCAUAGAAUUGCCGUUGAAACUGGGGGGCUUGAGUAUGUUUGAGGCAGGCGGAAUGCGUGGUGUAGCGGUGAAAUGCUUAGAUAUCACGCAGAACCCCGAUUGCGAAGGCAGCCUGCCAAGCCAUGACUGACGCUGAUGCACGAAAGCGUGGGGAUCAAACAGGAUUAGAUACCCUGGUAGUCCACGCAGUAAACGAUGA